ACAAUCACUUGGAAGCGCUCCGACGGGACAUGCGCACCUACAAGUACAGACACAGGCUGAGAAGCCAGAGCUCCGGACCUCGCUUUUGACUUCUUGGAGAACCAGAGACCCUUGGAGAAAAGUCAAGUGACCUCACUGCUUCGUCAAAGAGGGGACCACAGGCUGCCUCACUCCAUGCACGAAGUUCUCUAAUCCUUGAGAAACCGAAGGCUAUCUCUUCGAAGCCAAAAUGCUUUUGAAAGGAUAAAGAACUCUUAAGUGAAGAAGAUGAACAAGAGAGACUGCUACCAGUCAGGGUCCUCCACAUAGCCACCGAGAGAGCAUCCACCAAGAGGAAACCGUUCCAGCCUUUGUAACCCAGGAUCUUACUGCACAUUGCUGGCUUACCCAUUAGAAGCACCAGAAGGUGUCUGACAUACUCUUUGAUUAGAAGGGGAGAGGAUUUGCACCCUGUGAAAACCGAAAUGAGUGAAUGAAAGAAGCUGGUUUGGAAAUGGAUUUCAUUUUUCACCCCAUGAGGUCAAGAUAUUAAAAGAAGAAAGUCUCAGUAUCCUUACAGAACAGCCCCAGAGGAGUCCCAGAGAUGUUUCUGCAUGUCUCCAUAUGUUUCACUGGGAAGGAAAUGGACACAAUCCUCGCCCCCACCAUGCUCACUCUAGUUGUGGUCUAAGGAUGGAGGAGAGUGAGGCACCAGUGUGGGGUGAGGGGUGCGGUGGAAAGGAAGCUGUGGGGCCUUUGGUGGGUACACAGGCCAUUGUCCUGAGAGUUUGUGUUCUCUGUGGUGGGGUGACCCUUUGCAACUUCCAGUAAGAGCCACAGGGUCUCAGCUCCUGCCUGGAGCCACCCUGGACCCUGCUUUAGGGCUUUGCAUUGUGCCUUGUAAUUGCAGAGAGUGGUGGUGUGGAGGCCUUUGGAGUCUGCCUGCGCUAAGUCCCAUUCAGCUCUGUAGUCUUAAACAUCUGCAUUAGCCUCUCUGAAUCUGUUUUCUUGUUUGUAAAAUGGGGGCGGCCAUGACUAUUUUACAGGAUUUAGUAAAGAUUAAAUGAGGUGUCAUGGGAAUAAAGCCCCAGAGCUGAUAGAGUCCACAAAUAUCCAUUUUCCCCUAGUCUUGCUGGUGGUAUGCUCUUGGGUUUGGAGGGAAAGGUUAGAACCACCUACUUCCUCUACGGAGCAACCACAAUCUAUGAUGUGGGCCUGGGUGGACUCAAUUGUGGAAAAGGCAGCCCUUUUUGGCAGUUGCGGUAACUCCAGAUGUCUGGAUUCUAUGGCAGGAGGGAACUCAGGGUCUAUGCUGUGCAACACUCAGGUUGAGCGUGUGGGGGUAAAGGACCCCCAGAGAGCUGAAGUGACUUCCCCAGGGCCCCUCAGCUGAGGAUGGUAGAUCUGGGACCAGAUCCUUUGCCCUCUGUCUCUGUAUUGGCCCAGGGUUCACUUGUCAGGAGAGAAGAGCAUGUGCUUGUGGCACAAUACUUGGCAUGGGGUGCAGUUUGAACCCUCUCCUUACCCCAUAAGGUCUUCUCUAACAUGGAGGCAGUGGUCAAUUUCCAAGCCAGGUACCUCAACCUGCACAUCACACAGCAAGUUCUCCUGCUCUCCUGACACCAAGUUAGGUGGCUCUGAGGGCUAUCCUGGGGUUCCUGUACAAAACUUGAAUGCUUAUUUCUUUGUCACUUGCCCCAGACUAUGAAGGUGGAGUCUGGGCCUUCUUCCUUGUGUGUUUAGAGCCGUCUGUCCACCUUGCCACCUAGCAGGCCUCAGUGACUGAGGGUGAAUCACUAGGUCAAUUGGGUUCAUUCUGUUCUUGCUCCUUCCUGGCAUUGAGGGGGUCCCAGCUUGAGCACCUCCCUUACCCAAGAAGACUCCCUAGUCUUUUGGGGGAGGCAAUAGGAACUCUGAUGGCUUCUGGUCUAACUUAGUAGAGCUUCAUAACUUCUCUAACCUGAUCCCUAUUCUCUCCCCGAAACCUAGAGAAUGACCCAUGUUGAUAAAAGUUGCACUCACCACGACAGAGUUCUCUGUCUCAAAUUACAAGCCAACUCGAAUUCCUCCAGGCUUUGGGUAGCAUCUUCUACUGGGCUGUCUCCCAUGGGCCUCUCCACACUGAUCUCCACUUAGCAUCCAUGCUGUGAGCACCCACUCUGUGCUGUGGCUGGGUCUCUGUGCAGGGAAGGAGAUGGGCUAGCAGCUAAGAGCUGGGUCAGCCUUGGCUUUCCCAGGCCUGGGGGAGGAUCCAUUCCCUGCACUAAGCAGAGCAGGAAGAUUUAGCUGGGCCACUGCCUCUUCCCCUAGGAGGCAGCUAGCAAAGGUUGGGUGACAUGAAUGCACUGCAGUGAUGCCAUAGAAAUGGACAAGGCACACAACUCCAAAAUGAAUUUUGUGCAAGAAAA